GCACAAUUUACAUUUUCGUAAAUACCUUCUAUAAUAAAGGUGUAAAACCCUCUGGUUUACGGCCACAGUCAAAAACGUGCUAAGGUUAAUUGUACCAUUUAAGGUACAGAAAUUGACUAUGAGGAACAUUUUUGUACCAUUAGGGUUACAUUAAUAUUGUUUGUCCCUUGGGGAUGUUCCCCAGAAUCCAUUUUUGUACCUUAAAAAGUACAUUUACCUACAGCUAAGGGUACAUUUGACAGCCACUGUGACAACCAAAGGUUCCAAUUGGGGAGGUUUUUUUCUGUUUCCACAAGGAGAAACUCAAUUUAAUAAAAAUCAGUGAAUGCAAUCAAAAAUUGCCAAAAGUCUUGUAUUUUGUUUGGUUACUUAUGGUUAAGGUUAGGGCAGGUUAUGUGUUGAGGUUGUCAUAGUUGACAUUAGGGUUACGCCCAUAGAAAUGAAUGGAGUGUACUCACAAAGACAUGAAUUUGUGUGUGUGUGUGUGUGUGUGUGCGUGCGUGCGUGCGUGCGUGCGUGUGUGUGUGUGUGUCUGUCUGUCUGUCUGUCUGUCUGUCUGUCUGUCUGGGAGAAUGGAUAGAAACUUCGGGAAGAAACAGGGGGAUGAAAUGAUGAAUGUCAGUGGAGAGGUGCUGAUCCUCGAGCAGCCUGGAAUGAAUCCAAACGAGCUCCGAAUGAUUUGUUUAGCUUGGAUGUUUUAAUAACCACUUUCUCACUUUGAGAACCAUUGGAGAGACUAAGUCUCUUUCCCAAAUGCCCAUGGAAUUUGACACUAGGCAAUGUUACUCAAUAGUUAUUUCGUCUUCUCAAAAAGUGGAGGCAUUCUGUCAACAUCCACACUGUUGAUGCUGGCACUGCGUUCAACAUUUGACACGCCUUAGUAAAGGUACUGAUCAAUUCAUGCCCAGAGAAAUACAGGUAUACAGAGCCUGUGCAGAGGAUCGCUCAGUCCAUAUGGCAUUCCAUAUUCAGAUGAGCGGUAAAUGCUUUCUUCUCACUGUCAAAGAUGGAUCUCUCAAGGCACAAGAAGUAACACGGUGUUUCCCUAUCGAGGAUAAGCAGUUCUUCUUCAGAUGGGGAGGGGAAUACGGAGAUGCCAGGACUCUGCUUUGGAUGGGUCAGUCUGGCUCGGUUGUUCAAAGUGGUGGCUUGCCCACACUCUUCAAAAUGGUCAAGCUCAGUUAAGCUAAGUGACGCAGACUUUGAGUUCCCAACUUGCAGACAGCAUCCACCAGCAGACGCCCAGGGUUCAUACAUCUUAGAACUGCUGUACUAAAAGCUACAUUGUAACAUUUUGUCAUUUUAAAGGAGUUUAUUGUGGAUUAAUUCUAUCAAGUCCAAUUAGAAUGUAAAAUGUCACAACUAUUUGUCUGGCAUGAGAAGUAUAUCGGUUAAGCAGCAAAAAGUUUAGCUACAUGAACUAGGAAGGCAUUUCUCAAGCAGUUUGAAUAAGUACGUGUUGGGAUAUCAUAGUAAUGUGCAUGGGGUAUUGUGUUAUGUAAAGGAUUUAAUUUCUUUCUUUCAGAGAAUGUGCCUAAGUUAGAUUUAAAUAUUGUGAUCAGCUAGAUCUGCACACUUUAAACUGUACUACAUAUGGUUUAUAGCAGUAGCUAACUGGCACCAAAUCUAUACAGGAUAUUUUUGGCUGCAUAAAUGAUAUGUAUACAAACAUCAAAAAAUUCAAAAAACCAAACAAAGCAAGAAAGACAAGUGUCUAACUAAGAGCUUACGGGACUAACGGGGGAGUGGCCAAUUUUACAGCAAAAUAUGCACUAGUGAUAAAUUGUUUCAUUCUGUCAAAAAAAAGUAUCCGUGAAAACCGCUUUGGAAUUAGGCAUGUUUGCUCUACCAAUUUGAUCUUCAAUUAUAUUUUUAAAUGGAUAUAUUUUAAGAUUGUCCUUUCCCAAUUGACCAGCUCUUCAAAGCUAAGGGAGGUGUUGUUUUCAGAAAGGUGAGGUUAGUAAAUUAUGUCCUUCCCCGUGUAUUUAAUGCCUGAACUAUACAGGGAUACUAUGUUCAUUAAUAAGUAUUGUGUCAUUCUACCAUCGUUUAUUAGUGAGUAUCAAAUCAAAGGGGUAUAGCAGUUAGUAGCAAUAUAAUAAUAAUCAUCAUCAAAAUGUUACCAAGUUCAGAAGCACUCAGGCAAUUACACACGUUUUGAUUUAUGAAUUGUUUAUAUUUCACCUCGUGUUUGUUGUCCACGGACUUAGCUGCAUAUAAGGCACUCUGUAAGGAAGUCUGUGGCUAACUUGGUUUCAUUAAAUCAGUAACUUUUUACUUGAGGUGAUGUGAAUAAUGUAGUAGUACAUGCUUACUAAUUGCAUCAAUUAACUAGUAACUAAGUGUUUGUUAAGUACUGACCACAUGUUCAUUCAUCAUUAAUAAAUCUUGACAGUUCAUGUAUUUCAUGGGGAAUCAUAUAAUAGUUCAUGAUUUGUUCUUGAGUAGUAAAUGAAGUGUCAAUUGAAGUUUUACCAUUAUCUAAAAUUAUCCAUUAACUGAUAUAGUUCCUGAAUUGAUUAAUUUAUGACGAACAAGCUUUGGAUCAGUACUUAAACACUCUGUUAGUGGUUAAUUAAUGCAUUAAGUAAACCUGUACUACAUUAUUCAUGCCCCGUAAAGUAAAGUCUGACCAUUAAAUCUACUACUUAAUUCCUGAAAAAAGCAGAAGAGUUGGUGAUAUAUUUGAAAUUUGAGUAUAAUUCAAAGUGUAUGUUUCAUCCAUCAUGGUGACCCUGCUGAGUAUAAGUCUUUGGAUGAUGGAUGGAUCUUGUAUUUAAUGUUUAUUACUCUUAAUGGGACUGAUUUACCUGCAAUGUCAGUUAAAAUCACAGUUAUAUGCAUCCUGCGUUGCUGAAAUCACUGUGAAGAGGAAGCAAUGUAUUUUUCCAGAGGGAGUUAUAUUUGUAUUCUGUGUACAAGGCUGUAUUUCUUAUACCAAUGAUUGCAGUGUUACACCAAUAAAUAUGUACUUGAGACAAAAUUGA